rnacentral:lncRNA from 1 species
GAAGCUGCCCAGUGAGCCCCUUCCACCUUCCCCGAGACCACACCAGCAAGCCGAGUGCAAGAUGAACCAGUACCCCAUCUGCUGCUCAAGAUGCUUGAGACCAUUCCACUGAACCCCGAGAGCCCGAAGAUGUCUGCGUGCAGCGACUUUGUGGAGCACAUCUGGAAGCCCGGGUCCUGCAAAAACUGCUUCUGCCUGCGCAGUGACCAUCAGCUGGUGCCUGGCCGCCCCCAGCCCCGAGCUGGCUGCCUGCCCCCUCCGCCUCGCCUGCACCCCAGGCCGGAGAGCGGCCGCCCGGAAGAUGACAGCCUGAGCGGCUCACCCUACUCCAAGCCCACCAUCGCCGUGAAGCCCACCAUGAUGAGCUCUGAGGCUUCUGAUGGGUGGACAGAGGCCGGCGUGAGUGCCGACGUCGCACAGGUCAUCUGGAGACGAGCCCCCGGCAAGCUCCCCGUCCCGAAGCAGGAAGACGCGCCAGUAGUUUAUCUGGGCAGCUUCCGAGGUGUCCAGAAGCCUGCCGGGCCCUCGGGUCCCACAGACAGGGGUCACCCCCGCAACCCCCCUGCCUAUGCCAUGGUCGGCCUGCACAGCCUAGAGCCCCGGGGGGACCGAAGUGCUGCCUUCCACCCGGUGAGCUUUCCUGACGAGAAGCUUGGACGAGACGAUAAACCAGUGAUCCCCUACCAAGAGCUAAACUCCCCGCAGGAGAGCUUCCGCCACAAGCUGGCCGCCUUCUCCGGGAUGACUUCCGGCUGCCACAAGGGCCUGGGGCCCUACCCGUCUGCUCAGCCCCUGCGGGAGUCCCUGCCCUCGGAGGAUGACAGCGAUCAAAGGUGCUCGCCCUCGGGGGACAGCGAAGGGGGAGAAUACUGCUCCAUCUUGGACUGCUGUCCCGGGAGCCCAGGCGCGGAGGACGCCGCCCGGGCCGGCGGUUCCCGACACAGACAGGGCGGUAGGGACUGCUCGGCAGCCUGCUGGGAGCCGCGGGUGUGUGCCAGGCCACCUGAGGAGGAGAAGCGGGCUUUGAGUUUCCCCAGGGACUGCUGCAGCCAGGGCCCGACGGAGAGCCCACCCCACUUGGGCCCCAAGAAGCAGUCCCUCGCUUCAGAGGCUGCCAGCUCUUCGGAUGGCCUCUCGUGCGGGAGCGCCAACAGCCGCGCCAGCAGCCCCCUGGCCCCUCAUCCUGAGAGCGAUUACUGCUCCCUUAGGAAGGAGCCUGGGCCGGGGAAGCAGCAGGACUCCAGCUGCCACGCCGUGGCCUCCAGCAGGUGCCCUGGGCAGACUGGGGAGCCCCAGCCCCCAGCCCACUCCAGGGAGGCUGCACAGUCUGAACCCAUCUAUGCUGAGAGUACCAAGAGGAAGAAGGCCGUUCCAGUGCCUUCCAGGCUGCAGGCCAAGGCAGAACAGGGGGCAGGCACCCCGGGCCAGGCCCAGGUGCGGACGGUUAACACCUGGGCUCAGAAAGCCGCAUCUGGCUGCGGCCAGGACAGGGAAGGCCCGGAGGUGGCCCCCAAGAUGGCAGCCACCAUCACAGUCAUGGCGGCCCACCCAGAAGAGGACCACCGGACAAUUUACCUGAGCAGCCCUGACUCCUCCGUGGGGGUGCAGUGGCCACAUGGGCCCCUGAGCCAGCAGGCUCCUGAGGCAGGCGGAGAGGAGCCUUCAGCUGGGCAGGGGCUCGGCUCCAGGGAAAGCCGGCAUCGCAGUGCCAGUGAGACCACGGCCAAGGGGAGACCUGCCAUCCCCCCCAAGAUGUCCAGGAGCAGCCCUGGAGGGUCCCCGGUAUCCCCCUCCGCCUCCCCACUGUCCGACCUCAGUGAAGGGAACUCGGGCAUCCCUAGGCCCCAGCCUCCAUCCAGGGCCCCCGCUGACCCCGCUUCUUCCUGCCAGGCCAACGGCAUCCCCGCCAGUGACUCUGCCAGGGGCCCCCCGCCUGCCACCAGCACGUCAGUCUUGGAGCAGAGGCGGCCCCGGCCCCAGGCCGGUGCCUGGAGUCGCCAGUGCCGGAUCGAGGAGGAGGAUGAGGUGGAGCAGGACUUGCUGAGUCAAAGUUGGGGGAGAGAGGUGGAAAAUGGCCCCUUGGACCCAGCCAGCUCCUCCGCCUGGCACCGUCUUUGCCCCACAGAUGGCUCCUCUGGGCAGAACAGCAAAGCUGGGACUGGGAUGAGCAAGUCAGCCUCAUUUGCCUUUGAGUUCCCCAAGGACAGAAGUGGGAUUGAGGCGUUCUCGCCUCCCCCGCCACCUCCAAAGUCACGGCACCUUUUAAAAAUGAAUAAGAGCAGCUCUGAUUUAGAGAAAGUGAGCCAGGGCUCCGCCGAGAGCCUGAGGGGCGUCCACGUCAGCUUCACCACGGGCUCCACGGACAGCCUGGCCUCCGACUCCAGGACCUGCAGCGACGGAGGUCCAUCAUCUGAGCCAGCUCACUCGCCCACCAACAGCAGGAAGAAGCUCUUUGCCCCCGUCCCCUUCCCUUCGGGCUCCACCGAGGAUGUGUCCCCCGGCGAUCCCCUGCAGCCCCCGCCUCUUCCCCAGAAGAAGCUCGUGAGUCGGGCGGCCUCUUCCCCUGAUGGCUUCUUCUGGCCCCAGGGCUCCCCCAAGCCCAGAACAGCAAGUCCCAAGCUGAACCUCAGCCACUCAGAGACUAACGUCUGUGCCCAUGAGGACUCCCACUUCAGCUACGCCUCAGGCCCCGGCGGCCGCCACCAGCACGUCUUCUCCGCUUCCGAGCCGCUGGAGAAAACUUCCAAAGGCAGUGGCCACCGGGGCCCCACGCCAGGGCUAGGGGGCAGCAAAGGCCUGCAGGGCAAAGGGGUCUCCUCCGCGUCGUCCUCCCAGCUGAGCGUAUCCAGCCAGGCCUCGGCGGGCAGCACCCAGCUGCAGCUCCACAGCCUCCUGAACAGCAUCAGCAGCAAGGAGGGCACCUACGCCAAGCUGGGGGGCCUGUAUGCCCAGUCCCUGGUCCGCCUCGUGGCCAGGUGCGAGGACCUCUUCAUGGGCGGCCAGAAGAAGGAGCUGCACUUCAGCGAGAAUAACUGGUCCCUGUUCAAGCUGACCUGUAACAAGCCCUGCUGUGACUCGGGGGAUGCCAUUUACUAUUGCGCCACCUGCUCCGAGGACCCCGGCAGCACCUACGCCGUGAAGAUCUGCAAGACCCCCGAGCCCAAAGCAGCCUCCUACUGCAGCCCUUCAGUGCCCGUGCACUUCAAUAUCCAGCAGGACUGUGGCCACUUUGUGGCCUCCGUGCCCUCCAGCAUGCUCACCUCUCCCGACGCACACAAGGACCCUCUGUCUGCCCUGCCCUCACAUCCCCCCGCCCAGGAGCAGGACUGCGUGGUGGUCAUCACUCGGGAGGUGCCCCACCAAACCGCCUCAGACUUUGUGCGGGACUUGGCCACCAGCCACCAGUCUGAGCCCGAGGUCUACGAACGGAGGGUGUGCUUCCUGCUCCUGCAGCUCUGCAACGGGCUGGAGCACCUGAAGGAGCAUGGGAUCAUCCACCGAGACCUGUGCCUGGAGAACCUGCUCCUGGUGCACUGCGCCCCCCAGGCCUCCCCUGAGCCCUCCCCCGCUGCCUCCAUUCCUCCCACCACCACAUCCCCCGCCCCCACGGCCACCCCGUCCUCUGGCCCCUCGGCCACUGUCCCUACCAGCGUCACCCCCACCCCUCCAGCCGCCCCCGCCCUUCAAGGAGGGUCCAGUGAGAAACACUUGCCCCGGCUUAUCAUCAGCAAUUUCUUAAAGGCCAAGCAGAAGCCGGGUGGCACCACCAACCUGCAGCAGAAGAAGAGCCAGGCACGCCUGGCUCCCGAGAUCGUGUCUGCCUCUCAGUACCGCAAGUUCGACGAAUUCCAAACGGGCAUCCUCAUCUAUGAGCUGCUCCACCAGCCCAACCCGUUCGAGGUGCGGGCACAGCUCCGGGAGCAGGACUACCGGCAGGAGGACUUGCCCCCGCUGCCCGCGCUGUCCCUCUACUCGCCGGGCCUGCAGCGGCUCGCCCACCUGCUGCUGGAGGCCGACCCCAUCAAGCGCAUCCGCAUCGGCGAGGCCAAGCGCUGUGCGCCACGCUCCAUAACUGGAUCGACAUGA